UACGAAGGGGCUAGCGUUGUUCGGAAUUAUUGGGCGUAAAGCGCACGUAGGCGGUUCGUUAAGUCGGAUGUGAAAGCCCUCGGCUCAACUGAGGAAGUGCACCCGAAACUGGCGAGCUUGAGUACGAAAGAGGAUCGCGGAAUUCCCGGUGUAGAGGUGAAAUUCGUAGAUAUCGGGAGGAACACCGGUGGCGAAGGCGGCGAUCUGGGUCGAUACUGACGCUGAGGUGCGAAAAGCGUGGGGAGCAAACAGGG
rnacentral:rRNA from 1 species